GUUGUAUGGUUAAGUGACUAAGCGUACACGGUGGAUGCCUUGGCAGUCAGAGGCGAUGAAAGACGUAGUAACUUGCGAUAAGCCCAGAUUAGGUAGUAACAACCAUUUGAGUCUGGGAUUUCUGAAUGGGGAAACCCACGUGCAUAAGCACGUAUCCUUACCUGAAUACAUAGGGUAAGGAGGCGAACCGGGGGAACUGAAACAUCUAAGUACCCCGAGGAAAAGAAAUCAACCGAGAUUCCGAAAGUAGCGGCGAGCGAAAUUGGACUAGCCCUUAAGCUUUACACGCGUUAGACGAACGGUCUGGAAAGUCCGACGAUACAGGGUGAUAGUCCCGUAGUUGACGACGUGUGUUCAGUGAAAUCGAGUAGGGCGGGACACGUGAUAUCCUGUCUGAAUAUGGGGGGACCAUCCUCCAAGGCUAAAUACUACUGACUGACCGAUAGUGAACCAGUACCGUGAGGGAAAGGCGAAAAGAACCCCUGUGAGGGGAGUGAAAUAGAACCUGAAACCGUGUACGUACAAGCAGUAGGAGCAGGCUUUGUCCUGUGACUGCGUACCUUUUGUAUAAUGGGUCAGCGACUUAUAUUCAGUGGCAAGGUUAACCAUCUAGGGGAGCCGUAGGGAAACCGAGUCUUAACUGGGCGUUCAGUCUCUGGAUAUAGACCCGAAACCAGGUGAUCUAGCCAUGGGCAGGUUGAAGGUUGAGUAACAUCAACUGGAGGACCGAACCGACUAAUGUUGAAAAAUUAGCGGAUGACUUGUGGCUAGGGGUGAAAGGCCAAUCAAACCUGGAGAUAGCUGGUUCUCCCCGAAAGCUAUUUAGGUAGCGCCUCGGACGAAUACUACUGGGGGUAGAGCACUGUUAAGGCUAGGGGGUCAUCCCGACUUACCAACCCUUUGCAAACUCCGAAUACCAGUAAGUACUAUCCGGGAGACACACGGCGGGUGCUAACGUCCGUCGUGGAGAGGGAAACAACCCAGACCGCCAGCUAAGGUCCCAAAUUACUACUAAGUGGGAAACGAUGUGGGAAGGCUCAGACAGCCAGGAUGUUGGCUUAGAAGCAGCCAUCAUUUAAAGAAAGCGUAAUAGCUCACUGGUCGAGUCGGCCUGCGCGGAAGAUGUAACGGGGCUAAGUAGUAAACCGAAGCUGCGGCAAUAUACUUUUGUAUAUUGGGUAGGGGAGCGUUCUGUAAGCGGUUGAAGGUGUGUGGUAACGCAUGCUGGACGUAUCAGAAGUGCGAAUGCUGACAUGAGUAACGAUAAAGGGGGUGAAAAACCUCCUCGCCGGAAGACCAAGGGUUCCUGUCCAACGUUAAUCGGGGCAGGGUAAGUCGACCCCUAAGGCGAGGCCGAAAGGCGUAGUCGAUGGGAAACGGGUUAAUAUUCCCGUACUUCUUACAAUUGCGAUGGGGGGACGGAGAAGGCUAGGUGGGCCUGGCGACGGUUGUCCAGGUUCAAGUGCGUAGGCUGAGAGAUUAGGUAAAUCCGGUUUCUCUUAAGGCUGAGACACGACGUCGAGCACCUACGGGUGUGAAGUCAUUGAUGCCAUGCUUCCAGGAAAAGCCUCUAAGCUUCAGAUUGUAAGGAAUCGUACCCCAAACCGACACAGGUGGUCGGGUAGAGAAUACCAAGGCGCUUGAGAGAACUCGGGUGAAGGAACUAGGCAAAAUGGUACCGUAACUUCGGGAGAAGGUACGCUCUCGACGGUGAAGUCCCUUGCGGAUGGAGCUAUUGAGAGUCGCAGAUACCAGGUGGCUGCAACUGUUUAUUAAAAACACAGCACUGUGCAAAAUCGUAAGAUGACGUAUACGGUGUGACGCCUGCCCGGUGCCGGAAGGUUAAUUGAUGGGGUUAGACUUCGGUCGAAGCUCUUGAUCGAAGCCCCGGUAAACGGCGGCCGUAACUAUAACGGUCCUAAGGUAGCGAAAUUCCUUGUCGGGUAAGUUCCGACCUGCACGAAUGGCGUAAUGAUGGCCACGCUGUCUCCACCCGAGACUCAGUGAAAUUGAAAUCGCUGUGAAGAUGCAGUGUACCCGCGGCUAGACGGAAAGACCCCGUGAACCUUUACUACAGCUUGGCACUGAACAUUGACCCUACAUGUGUAGGAUAGGUGGGAGGCUUUGAAGCAAGUACGCCAGUAUUUGUGGAGCCGUCCUUGAAAUACCACCCUUGUAGUGUUGAUGUUCUAACGUCGACCCCUUAUCGGGGUUGCGGACAGUGCCUGGUGGGUAGUUUGACUGGGGCGGUCUCCUCCCAAAGAGUAACGGAGGAGCACGAAGGUGGGCUAAUCACGGUUGGACAUCGUGAGGUUAGUGCAAUGGCAUAAGCCCGCUUGACUGCGAGAAUGACAAUUCGAGCAGGUGCGAAAGCAGGUCAUAGUGAUCCGGUGGUUCUGAAUGGAAGGGCCAUCGCUCAACGGAUAAAAGGUACUCCGGGGAUAACAGGCUGAUACCGCCCAAGAGUUCAUAUCGACGGCGGUGUUUGGCACCUCGAUGUCGGCUCAUCACAUCCUGGGGCUGAAGUCGGUCCCAAGGGUAUGGCUGUUCGCCAUUUAAAGUGGUACGCGAGCUGGGUUUAGAACGUCGUGAGACAGUUCGGUCCCUAUCUGCCGUGGGCGUUGGAAGAUUGAAGGGGGCUGCUCCUAGUACGAGAGGACCGGAGUGGACGAACCUCUGGUGUUCGGGUUGUGUCGCCAGACGCAUUGCCCGGUAGCUAAGUUCGGAAUCGAUAACCGCUGAAAGCAUCUAAGCGGGAAGCGAGCCCUGAGAUGAGUCUUCCCUGAUACUUUAAGUAUCCUAAAGGGUUGUCGGAGACUACGACGUUGAUAGGUCAGGUGUGUAAGUGCUGUGAGGCAUUGAGCUAACUGAUACUAAUUGCCCGUGAGGCUUAACCAUACAACACCCAAGGGGUUU
rnacentral:rRNA from 1 species